GUUGUAUGGUUAAGUGACUAAGCGUACAUGGUGGAUGCCUUGGCAGUCAGAGGCGAUGAAGGACGUACUAACCUGCGAUAAGCUGUGAGAAGUCGGUAAGAGACGCUAUUACUCACAGAUUUCCGAAUGGGGAAACCCACCCGAGAUAACUCGGGUAUCUGUUACUGAAUACAUAGGUAACAGAGGCGAACCGGGAGAACUGAAACAUCUAAGUACCCCGAGGAAAAGAAAUCAACCGAGAUUCCCUCAGUAGCGGCGAGCGAACGGGGAUUAGCCCUUAAGCAUCUUGGAAGUUAGUGGAACGGUCCUGGAAAGGCCGGCGAUACAGGGUGAUAGCCCCGUACACGAAAACAACCUUGAUGUGAAAUCGAGUAGGGCGGGACACGUGACAUCCUGUCUGAAUAUGGGGGGACCAUCCUCCAAGGCUAAAUACUCCUGACUGACCGAUAGUGAACCAGUACCGUGAGGGAAAGGCGAAAAGAACCCCUGUGAGGGGAGUGAAAUAGAACCUGAAACCGUGUACGUACAAGCAGUGGGAGCCCUUCGGGGUGACUGCGUACCUUUUGUAUAAUGGGUCAGCGACUUACAUUUUGUAGCGAGGUUAACCGUAUAGGGGAGCCGUAGGGAAACCGAGUCUUAACUGGGCGUCUAGUUGCAAGGUGUAGACCCGAAACCGGGUGAUCUAGCCAUGGGCAGGUUGAAGGUUGAGUAACAUCAACUGGAGGACCGAACCCACUAACGUUGCAAAGUUAGGGGAUGACCUGUGGCUGGGGGUGAAAGGCCAAUCAAACUCGGAGAUAGCUGGUUCUCCCCGAAAGCUAUUUAGGUAGCGCCUCGGACGAAUACUACUGGGGGUAGAGCACUGUUUGGGCUAGGGGGUCAUCCCGACUUACCAACCCCAUGCAAACUCCGAAUACCAGUAAGUAAUAUCCGGGAGACACACGGCGGGUGCUAACGUCCGUCGUGAAGAGGGAAACAACCCAGACCGCCGGCUAAGGUCCCAAAGUUCUGGUUAAGUGGGAAACGAUGUGGGAAGGCUCAGACAGCUAGGAUGUUGGCUUAGAAGCAGCCAUCAUUUAAAGAAAGCGUAAUAGCUCACUAGUCGAGUCGGCCUGCGCGGAAGAUGUAACGGGGCUCAAACCAGGCACCGAAGCCGCGGAUUCACACUUAUGUGUGAGUGGUAGGGGAGCGUUCUGUAAGUCUGCGAAGGUGUAUCGAGAGGUAUGCUGGAGAUAUCAGAAGUGCGAAUGCUGACGUAAGUAACGAUAAAGGGGGUGAAAAGCCUCCUCGCCGGAAGACCAAGGGUUCCUGUCCAACGUUAAUCGGGGCAGGGUGAGUCGACCCCUAAGGCGAGGCCGAAAGGCGUAGUCGAUGGGAAGCAGGUUAAUAUUCCUGCACGACUUGUAAUUGCGAUGGGGGGACGGAGAAGGCUAGGUGGGCCAGGCGACGGUUGUCCUGGUGAAAGUGCGUAGGUGGUGUUUCUAGGCAAAUCCGGAGACACAACACUGAGACACGAGACGAACACACUACGGUGUGGAAGCCAUUGAUGCCCUGCUUCCAGGAAAAGCCUCUAAGCUUCAGAUUACAAGUCAUCGUACCCCAAACCGACACAGGUGGUCGGGUAGAGAAUACCAAGGCGCUUGAGAGAACUCGGGUGAAGGAACUAGGCAAAAUAGAACCGUAACUUCGGGAGAAGGUUCGCUCUUGACAGUGAAGUCCCUUGCGGAUGGAGCAGUUGGGAGUCGCAGUGACCAGAUGGCUGGGACUGUUUAUCAAAAACACAGCACUCUGCAAACACGAAAGUGGACGUAUAGGGUGUGACACCUGCCCGGUGCCGGAAGGUUAAUUGAUGGGGUUAGCGCAAGCGAAGCUCUUGAUCGAAGCCCCGGUAAACGGCGGCCGUAACUAUAACGGUCCUAAGGUAGCGAAAUUCCUUGUCGGGUAAGUUCCGACCUGCACGAAUGGUGUAACCAUGGCCAUGCUGUCUCCACCCGAGACUCAGUGAAAUCGAAUUCGCCGUGAAGAUGCGGUGUACCCGCGGCUAGACGGAAAGACCCCGUGAACCUUUACUACAGCUUGGCACUGAACAUUGAACCUACAUGUGUAGGAUAGGUGGGAGGCUUUGAAGGCGUGACGCCAGUUGCGCUGGAGCCGUCCUUGAAAUACCACCCUUGUAUGUUUGAUGUUCUAACGCAGGGCCCUGAAUCGGGCUCGCGGACAGUGCCUGGUGGGUAGUUUGACUGGGGCGGUCUCCUCCCAAAGAGUAACGGAGGAGCACGAAGGUUGGCUAAUCCUGGUCGGACAUCAGGAGGUUAGUGCAAUGGCAUAAGCCAGCUUAACUGCGAGACGGACAGGUCGAGCAGGUACGAAAGUAGGUCAUAGUGAUCCGGUGGUUCUGAAUGGAAGGGCCAUCGCUCAACGGAUAAAAGGUACUCCGGGGAUAACAGGCUGAUACCGCCCAAGAGUUCAUAUCGACGGCGGUGUUUGGCACCUCGAUGUCGGCUCAUCACAUCCUGGGGCUGAAGUCGGUCCCAAGGGUAUGGCUGUUCGCCAUUUAAAGUGGUACGCGAGCUGGGUUCAGAACGUCGUGAGACAGUUCGGUCCCUAUCUGCCGUGGGCGUUGGAUGAUUGAAGGGAGUUGCUCCUAGUACGAGAGGACCGGAGUGAACGAACCUCUGGUGUUCGGGUUGUCACGCCAGUGGCACUGCCCGGUAGCUAAGUUCGGAAUCGAUAACCGCUGAAAGCAUCUAAGCGGGAAGCGAGCCCUGAGAUGAGUCAUCCCUGACCCCUUGAGGGUCCUAAAGGGCCGUUGGAGACCACAACGUUGAUAGGCGGGGUGUGUAAGUGCAGCGAUGCAUUGAGCUAACCCGUACUAAUUACCCGUGAGGCUUAACCAUACAACACCCAAGAAGUGUUCU
rnacentral:rRNA from 1 species